UCCUGUCCUAAUUAAUUAGCACAGAUACACAAACUGUGAGAAGGGAGGCUGUCAAAUAAGUUGGUUGGUUAAAGAUUUAGUUUAUUAACCUCCAUGUUCCUUAAAAACUAUUAGGUCAGAAGAAAUCACUUAUAGUUUUGUUCAUGUUCAUAAAGUAAUGUGGGGUCAUACUCAUUUUUAUUUUGCUGUUAUUGAAUUUAGGAGUUGAGACAGAUUGAAGCAAACAAAAGAUAGUGAGAUUUUAAAGUUCCAUAAUAGCAGAGAAUCCAGGAGGCUAGAAGGUCCAAAAUUCUGAACAAAACCUCUGCUAAUUGUUUUAAACUAAUCACCAGGGAAAUGACAAGCAUUGAGAAAUGACUAAGAAACUCAUCACUUGAGAACUAGCUCAUUCCCCCCCACCAAUGUCUGAUGUUAUAAGCAAAUUCCUAAAAGAAUGAUCAGGCUUCUCCCCCCUCUUUUUUGCAAUAACAAGAUAUGUUUGCAAAAGAAGAAUCUAUUUUAAGAGCGGUAUGGAUGUUCAAGAUCCCUUUAUCAGAAGGAUAAAUCAGGCUGUGAGGGGCAGACAAUGAAGGACUUCAUUUGUGGACACAGUGAGUUCAAGAAAGAAAUAAAAUCCUUCAAUUUGUCUUCUUUGCUCCCUGUUCAUGUCCUCGUAUGCCAUUACUUGAUUCAGUGCCCACAAAAGGUGGGCAUCUCAAAGGCUGAAAAUAAAGCUAUCUACCAAGCAAUUCUAGGGAUAUAUAGCACCUGAGAAGCAUGGAACACCAAGUAUAUUAGCCCUCCACCCUUAGCCAUUUUAACAAAGUUGGUUCAGAAAAUCUGCCUCCAGAAAAGUACUUAACCUCUAAAACUACAACAUGGACGCAUAUGGCUAUUAAGCCUGGACCCUUCAUCUUCUGUUUCAGGUUUUCAGAGAUGGAGAAGAGAGGGAAUGGCUUUAAAAAACCUUCUAACAGCUUCUGGGUAAAAGGGAACCAGAAUAUACCAAGCAUGGGUUUGGUCCCAGGACACAAUGUAAACAGAAGUACCAUGGAUCAGUCAGGAACAAAAAUCUUGAAACUUUUAUUCACUGAUUGAUUUAUGGAUCAAGCUUUUACUUACAUGGGGUGGCAGGAGCAGUCUAGAGAUUAGGAAAAGCUGCCCAAUGACUCUCAAGAGGACACAGAGGCAGAAGAUCAGAAAAUCAGCACCUGAAAUUUAAACGAAGCUAUUAAUACCCUUCAGAAAUCUAAACUGUUUGCACUUUGGUUUGAGUCUUCCAGAACCAAAGUAAAGUUACCCCGCCUCCCUCCCUCUCCCCCUUAAUAAUAUUCCUUCUUUGUCACAGAAAAAUGAAUUUUUAGAGGAAGAAUUUUUAGAGGAAGGAAAAGAAAAUUAUAGUUAAAAAGCAAACCAAAUAAAACAUUUC
rnacentral:lncRNA from 1 species